rnacentral:lncRNA from 10 species
ACAGCUCACACAGACAAUUUUCUUUGGAGGAUUAUCCUGGGGCCACUUGAAUCUCUUCUCCCACAAGUGCUGAAAGUCAGAAAUUUUGAGAGUGUCUGUUUUCCCGGAGUGGUCCUUAUCCACUGGCUGACUACUUGGGAAUCUGAAUACCAAGUUCCGUCACUGUAAGGCCAUGUGUAUUAAAGGAGACACAGAAGUGACCAAGAAGCCUCCUUCAAUCUUCCCAAAGACUCAAUCACCCUCUUAGAUGAAAACAGAGUCCUCACUUUCUGUCUUUCUCAAUGAUGCGCUGGAGAAUUUUGUGCUUCCUUUCACUGAAACCCAGAGAUCAGUAGAGUUGGAGCUCCUUCUUACCAAAGAGAGAAGGCGCACUUUUGCCUAAGAGCCACAGCAAGAUCCCUCUGAACCACAAGCUGCAGCUCUUGCCAAGCCACUUUGAACUUCUUGUAUCUAUGGAUCAGCAGGUGAAAAGAGGUGUCACCAUACUUGCAUGGAUGAUGACCCUGUAUCCAGUGUGGCCUGAGAUCAAUUACAACUAUAACAUUUGUGUCAGUGUGUAUCACAGUCCAUCAGAUCUCCUAAUCUCAUGUCUCUAUCGCCAUCUUUACUCACAGACACUCUCCCCAACCAACCUCAUACAUGUCUAAGAUAUGAAUAUUUAGAAAUGUGGAUGAGCCAAGUAUAGAAGCUCGUGACUAAUUGCCUACAUCAAAUAACUCGAAGUGGUCAGAAAAUAAUUGUGCUUUAUUUAGUCUAUAAUUGGAUCUUUUGUAAUAGCACCAGCACCUCUUAGAAAAGAUAAAGUAAAUAGAAACAGCAAUACGGGGUCUCUGAUGUUGCAUCACAUCAGUGAGGUGUAGCUAAGUCACGUCUGUGUCCAGUGGAGCAUGUGCAGCAUGGUCUGCCA